GCUGGAUAUCUCAAUAAUACUGAGGUAUGUGUAGGUAGCUGGAUAUCUCAAUAAUACUGAGGUAUGUGUAGGUAGCUGAGUAUCAAUAAUACUGAGGUGUGUGUAGGUAGCUGGAUAUCUCAAUAAUA